rnacentral:sRNA from 1 species
UCUCUCCAGCCCGAAUAGAGGAGGACCGGUCUUCGGUCAAGGGUAUAAGAGUAGCUGCGCUCCCCUGCUAGAACCUCCAAACAAGCUCUCAACUUGCUUUUGAUCAUGUUUUAUCACAGC